rnacentral:rRNA from 1 species
CCAUGCCGCGUGUGUGAAGAAGGCCUUCGGGUUGUAAAGCACUUUCAGUCGUGAGGAAGGUAGUGUAGUUAAUAGCUGCAUUAUUUGACGUUAGCGACAGAAGAAGCACCGGCUAACUCCGUGCCAGCAGCCGCGGUAAUACGGAGGGUGCGAGCGUUAAUCGGAAUUACUGGGCGUAAAGCGCAUGCAGGUGGUUUGUUAAGUCAGAUGUGAAAGCCCGGGGCUCAACCUCGGAAUUGCAUUUGAAACUGGCAGACUAGAGUACUGUAGAGGGGGGUAGAAUUUCAGGUGUAGCGGUGAAAUGCGUAGAGAUCUGAAGGAAUACCGGUGGCGAAGGCGGCCCCCUGGACAGAUACUGACACUCAGAUGCGAAAGCGUGGGGAGCAAACAGGAUUAGAUACCCUGGUAGUCCACGCCGUAAACGAUGUCUACUUGGAGGUUGUGGCCUUGAGCCGUGGCUUUCGGAGCUAACGCGUUAAGUAGACCGCCUGGGGAGUACGGUCGCAAGAUUAAAACUCAAAUGAAUUGACGGGGGCCCGCACAAGCGGUGGAGCAUGUGGUUUAAUUCGAUGCAACGCGAAGAACCUUACCUACUCUUGACAUCCAGAGAACUUUCCAGAGAUGGAUUGGUGCCUUCGGGAACUCUGAGACAGGUGCUGCAUGGCUGUCGUCAGCUCGUGUUGUGAAAUGUUGGGUUAAGUCCCGCAACGAGCGCAACCCUUAUCCUUGUUUGCCAGCGAGUAAUGUCGGGAACUCCAGGGAGACUGCCGGUGAUAAACCGGAGGAAGGUGGGGACGACGUCAAGUCAUCAUGGCCCUUACGAGUAGGGCUACACACGUGCUACAAUGGCGCAUACAGAGGGCAGCCAACUUGCGAAAGUGAGCGAAUCCCAAAAAGUGCGUCGUAGUCCGGAUUGGAGUCUGCAACUCGACUCCAUGAAGUCGGAAUCGCUAGUAAUCGUGGAUCAGAAUGCCACGGUGAAUACGUUCCCGGGCCUUGUACACACCGCCCGUCACACCAUGGGAGUGGGCUGCAAAAGAAGUAGGUAGUUUAACCUUCGGGGGGACGCUUACCACUUUGUGGUUCAUGACUGGGGUGAAGUCGUAACAAGGUAGCGCUAGGGGAACCUGGCGCUGGAUCACCUCCUUAAACGAUGAU